AGGGAAAGGUAUCAGAUCAAUUGUGCUGGAUUUUUCUUGAUUAGAUCUUGGAUCUCUUCCUUGUUGCUAACUGAGGUCCCGGUUGAAGUGAGGGGAGGUGAGGUUCCAUUCUUGCUGUGGAAUUGUGUUUGGUUCCGGCAGUAACAAUCACCUCAAUCCAGCAUCAACAGUAGGUUCGAUCUGCUCUGUUCUAUUUGUGAACUUUCUGAUUUCGGCAGUAAA